UAGAACUGAUGAUUCAAAUGGUGGAAUGAAGGGCUAACAACCUGAAACGCCUACCCUGAGGUUACGCUGUGCAAAAUUAUGGGUAAUCAUAGUGAUGUACAAAGCGCGUUAAAGUCGGCAGAGAGUUGCCCAAACAAAGGAAAAAAUUAUUUUCAGAUGUGGAAAGUUGUCCAGAGGUGGAUGACGCAACCUAUAUGCCGGGGGUCUAAAAA
rfam:Enterococcus sp. 2G9_DIV0600 scaffold00003, whole genome shotgun sequence.